CUUUCAUAACAGACCUCUACUCAAGCUUGCAUCCAGUACUUUAUUCUUUAGCGGAACUCUACUUGACAAGCACCUAGCGUCCGAAGUGUUAGCUCAUUCUCUCGGAUCUGUGAUCUGGCUGAUUCCUUAGUUUCUUCCCUGUCUGUAAUCAAACGAGUGUUUUGUAUUGAGUAGGACACAUCGCCUUCUCUCUAUUGGGGUUCCCUUCAGACGAUCUAAGGCACAUGAAUCUAUAGUAAGAAGAAAGCUAGUAAAGGCAACAGUAAUAGUGUAUAGUUACUGGACGAGGAGGAUUGAUAGACAGACAAAAUGGUGCCAGAAUAGCUUGUGAUGUUUGGCUCUUUGAUAGAAUGAGCUGUUGGGGGAAUGGGAUUUAUGGACGAAUUGGACAAAGACAGUUUGCUACGAAUACGCAGCUAGUCUUUUUGAUGGGGGAUUUUGGUAAUAUCUGCUCUUUUAGUCCACUCUUUGAGACAUCUAUUAGAUCUUUGAGACAUCUAUUAGACCUACGGGCAUGAACAGGAAUGGGAAACUUUCUUUCCUAUCAUUAGCGCAGUGAAAGUACAAUAUUUGACUUAUAUAGCUUUACCGUUAUAUAGGCUUUGCCCAUGGUUUUAUCCCGAAAUGCAAAGAAUCGGUUUUGCCAGAAUGCCUUUUUCGCACAGUUCAUCUACUAGGGGUAGGAUCCAAUAGUAUAAGUAGUGUUAACGGUGCUUGCUUGUAUUAUUUCUCUUUCUACUGAUGCACAGAAUUCAAUUGAAACAACUCCCGCGGAGUCUUGCUUUGAGUCCACUCUUUGAUGCAAUUAUUCAAUAAAUUGAUGUGGAACAGUCCAUUUGGUCUUUAUGUCGUUAGCAGCAAUAAAGGAAUUAGUAUGAGUUAUAACCAUUCGACAAGCAACAGCGCUAAGCAAGACUAGGUGCGCGUCAGGGGACAGAAAGAAAGAUGAAAUGUAGCCCUGCGAGUUGCAGUUUGUAACCGAGUUCCAGUAUUGAGCUUUUUAGACAACUAAUUUCUACAGCCUAUCGUUGGCUUAAUAGGAAUAGGUUGCAUUUGCCAUUAGCGGAUUGGACCAUGGCUUAAAACACUCUUAGGGCCUAUUUGACUGCUUUCCCGAAUCGACCUUUACAGCUUUCCCGAGUCGGGUGCUUUACUUUACACUAUGGAAGAAGAGUAUACAAGGGCCGGGGUAUAUAUUAUGUCGUAAUAAAUCCAGAAUACAGUUAAUAGGAGAGACGAGGUCUAGGCAGACUAUCUUACAAGCGCUAAGUCCUGAUUCCAUUUAUGUUCGACCAGUUAUACUUUACUCCAUUCUUUCUAUACAGCGCACUCUCAUCUCAAGAUUGCAUUACAGUUUCCCUUGGCGCAACAAGACUAAGGGUGUUUGUUUACUGUUAGGUAGGGUCAGUGAGGUAAAGAACUAACAAUAGCUGCCUUGCUUCUUUUAAUAACUCUCCCGCCGGGGGUCCAUUCCUUCUCUUGCAAACUCCAAUAAGCGUAAGCACCAGCACUCCUAAAACUAGAAAUAAGGAAUUCCACUCGAGCUGCCUGACUACUUUAAUAACGAAUGGAGUUCACCCUGGAACAAGAGUACAUAUGGAUUUUCUCCCGUGACAGUGUUGUUUACGCUCUAUCUCUAUAUGUGUUACAGUGUUGUUUACAUUGCUCUAUCUCUAUAUGUGUGAUACUAUCUAAUAUCCUAAUUCUCUACUUCAAUACUUUUAUAGCUUCAGAAGGCUUCUUUCUCGUUAUUGAAUCUAUGUUCCACUCAUCUUAUGCCAUCUCUCUAUAGUUAACACAUACUAUUUGUGCACCGCAGAACUAAACAAGCAACACGGCUGCUACUUACUUACGGACCCUUAGGUACGCAGCUACUUACUUACCUAAAGGUCACUUCCACAAAUGGUCUCAUUUCUCAUAUCACAAGCAAAGGCGCAAGGGCUUCUUAAAGCAACGGAACAAGACAGAGAACUAGCCAGGGCGGAGAGUACUUGAGUCUAGCGUUCAGAUGCCUCAAUUCUAUAUUCAAGUAAACAGUAAGUGGAAAGUGUUGUUACAACAUUAUAGUAUAUGUUCGAUAGAUUCAAUGAAAGGGAUUCUCUAACGGCAAUCAAACUGGAACUGACAUCACUCUUUCGUUAGAUGAAGACUGGAACUCCAAGAAAGGACAACACUAGAAACUGAAUCAUGUGCGGAACUCCAUGUAUUAAUUAGUUCAACUACUCUACUCGGUGAGCACAACUAGUAGCUUGGCCCGUUGUAUGUUCCACUUGUUUGUUUCAAGCACAAUAAGUCAGGGAAGCUAACACUCUCACUGCGCUUGUUGAAACCUAACUUCACUCAUAACCUCUAAACUGGAAGUUCUCAUUGAUGCACCCCGUAAAGCAGAAAGGAAGCGUUAGCACAACGGAACAAGCAAGCCUAUCCUGUUAAGAAAAAGACUACAAAGAAUCUUAUAUCACUCUUAUGGUCUAUCUUUCUGUCCCAACUCAAUAA
rnacentral:lncRNA from 1 species